rnacentral:lncRNA from 1 species
GAACUAUGAGCAAGCGGCGUGUCUCUUCGUCGGCUUGGAAGAAGUUCUGAGUGGAAAGGUGGUGUUUGAGGGUGUCAAAAGAGAUAGGGUUGGUAGUGGUGGGGGUGGAGGAGGAAGUUGUAGGAGAAAGAGAGAAAGUGGUGGUCGUGGAAGAGGUUGUGGUGGUGGUGGAGGAUGAGGAGGAGGAGGGGGAGGGGUGGAGGAAAAGGGAGGAAGGUGGAAGGUGGAAGGAUUCUGAGUUGGAGAGGCGUUUGAGGAAAGAAUAUUGGUGGUGAAGGGAUGCUAGAGAGUGGGUGGUCAUGGUUUGGGUUUGUGGUGGGAAUAGUGUGACAAUGGCGAAAGGUAAAGAGAGAAAAAGGAU